rnacentral:rRNA from 1 species
ACAAGUUGACCUCAAAUNCAUGCCCCACAACCCCCCC